rnacentral:precursor_RNA from 15 species
CUCUUCGGAUGAUCCUCUUCUUCUGGAAGCUGGUUUCACAUGGUGGCUUAGAUUUUUCCAUCUCUGUAUCUAGCACCAUUUGAAAUCAGUGUUUUAGGAGUAAGAAUUGCGGCAAGGCAAGG